CUGUCUGAUGGAGUAAAACCCGUUGGCUGGGGAAGGGGAAGUCUCCAGAGAUGUGGUGGAAAACGCCAGCCAGCCAGCUGUGUGGGACCCUUGGGCCAUAAGUCCCAGCCAUGGAGUUAAAAUGUGACAUGAAAUCUCGCUAUUAUAUUUGGACUAGAAGAGCUGCAAAGAGCAUUUUCUGUUCAAAUCGCCUAGGAUUAAGUCUCCUCAUGUAGUAGAAUCAAAGUCCUGGCUUCCUCCUCAAGGAGCAUCUCAUAACAAAAGCAUCCAGAGUUCGGGCUGCUUUGGAGGAGCUUCACAGGGAAUUUAACAGAAUGCA
rnacentral:lncRNA from 1 species